GACGAACGCUGGCGGCGUGCUUAACACAUGCAAGUCGAACGGAAAGGCCCUGCUUUUGUGGGGUGCCCGAGUGGCGAACGGGUGAGUAACACGUGAGUAACCCGCCCUUGACUUUGGGAUAACUUCAGGAAACUGGGGCUAAUACCGGAUAGGAGCUUCCGCUGCCUGGUGGGGGUGCGAAAGUUUCGGCGGUUGGUGAUGGAUUCGCGGCUUAUCAGCUUGUUGGUGGGGUAGUGGCUUACCACGGCUUUGACGGGUAGCCGGCCUGAGAGGGUAACCGGCCCCAUUGGUCCUAGGGGACGGCCCAGACGCGUACGUGCGGCAGCAGUGGAAAGUAUUGCACAAUGGGCGGAAGCCUGAGGCGACAAUGCCGCGUUCGGGAUAACGGCCUUCGAGUUGAGAACCGGUUUCGCCUGAGACGAAGCUAGAGUGACGGUAAUGGGCAAAAAAGCACCGGCUAACUACGUG
rnacentral:rRNA from 1 species